rnacentral:lncRNA from 1 species
ACAAGCUGUAGGAAGUAGAAAGCUGCAGAGUGUACCUUCCAGGCGAGAAGCAAAACAUUGAGGAUGGCCAGCAAAGGGCAGGGUCCAUUCUCAUUCUGGGUGAUGAUGGGCGUGUUCUCCUCUUUCCACUGGAUCCAUUUGAUGUGAUACACCGACUGUCCGGGAAAGCGUUCUUUGGAGGCCGCUAGCACCUGAGCCGGGUCCUCCUCCUCCUCUUUGCAUAGAGGUGCAGCCCUGGGCGGCCCCGCCGCGCCCUCCUCCACGUCCUCGGGGACCCUGGUCUCUGCUCCCUCCUCACUAUUGAACUCAGAGCUACUGGGGAAAGAAUGCAGGUUGGAGAAAGACUCCAGGGAGUCCAAGCUGGGCGAGUCCCCAGGGGGGCUCGGCUCGCUGCAGCUGCUGCUCGGGGCGCCGGUGCUGCUGGGCUCUUCCGCCGCCUGCUCCACCCUGCAGGUGCCCGUGUCGCCCACUGGCCCCGACCCUCGGCCCGCCGCGGCCUCGGCCAGCUCCGGGGAGGCGGUCACCUUGUGCUGCCCUCUUGAAGGCACCUCCGAGGCGGCAGGGCUCGACGACGCGCCGUCCUUCAAGUCCGAGCCCGCGCCGCAUCCGAGCUGCGAGGGGGACGUCGGGUCCCCGAGGCUGCUCCGCGCUGCCGCCGCCGCCGCCCCCUGCCCGCCGCUGUCCACCGCGCGUCCAGCGGGACCAUCCUCAGCCUCGCGCCCGCCGCGCCGUCGCCCUUCCGGCGGCGACACUCGCCCGGCCGCCACCCCUAGUUCCAGAGGCUGUGGGCUGUCAGGGCUGUUCUCCAUCCCCGGCCGCCCGCCCCUGGUCCUAUAGACACCGCGGCCGGCUCUCCUCAGCAAGCGCCUCCGACGCCAUGACAGCCGCUCUGUAGCAGCUCCAGCGCCCUAGCGCGGCCUCGGCCAGGCACGUCACCGUAGAGGGCGGCGGGAGCGCGCGCGCGUGCCCCCGCCCGCCCGCUCGGAGCGUGCCUCCGCGUGACUGCGCUCGUUGAAGCGCCCGGACCCACUCGGGGAGCGCUUCUCCCCCGAGGCCACGCCCCUCCCGCGCGUUCAGGCUAGGGAAGGCAGAGCGAGGCCAGGGGCGUGGCUGAGGGCGUGGUCAGGGGCGCGGCUCGGAGAGCCGCAGCGCCACUAGGAAAAUAAUCUUGUGUGUGCUGCCGGAAGUUGAACUCCGGGGCAUCCCCGCUGCGCGCGGUUACUUUAAAGGCAGUGGCUGAGGCUUGUAGGGAGUGUGGUCUACUUUGGGCUUGAGCCUGGUGGACCCCGAAAGUGGUAGUAGCAUUGGAAGACAGCCAUUCCCUGAAGGCCUCGGGAGAGCUGGCUUUUUCUUUUCUUUUUUUUUUUUUUUAGCUUUUAAUGUUGAGAAUUGGAAGCAUUUCUUAGGAAAUGCAAAUUUGAAAGGCGAGUUCUGUUGGAGGCUUUUGGAAGACUGCGCAGUACAGGGACAACUCUCCCUGGGUUUUGGCUGAGAAUCGCUGCGCUCCCAACCAGCUACUGGUUUGCCUUGCCGGAGGUUCAAUGAGGUUGUGGAUAUUGGCCUACGCCCCAGGCGAGAGGGUAAAUUUGGUCCAAUAAUAAUAAAUCAGUUUGCGUUUGAAGCAA